GCAACAACCACCCUCUCUGCCAGAGCUCUCUCUCUCUCUCUCUCUCUUUUCCUCGCAGACGCUCAAAAAGAGUGCCAAAUACCGGCGAUCACUGCUCUGCUGGUGCUCAUAUCCUCCCCACAAAGCAAACCCUUCAAUCUUUCUCUCUCAGGAACUCAUCAAACAUGUCGCUAACUAUCACAGUUUUUGUUUCCCUUCUCAUAAUCUCCCUCAUUUCAACCCCAUCAAUGUCUUCUCUUGAGUCUUUCGUUUUCGGUGGAUGCUCGCAGCUCAAAUACAUCUCAGACUCUCCUUAUGAAUCUAACGUCAAUUCUCUACUUACCUCCAUGGUUAACUCAGCCUCCUUCACAAACUACAACAACUUCACCGUCCAGAGUCCUUCCUCCUCACAGGACACCCUCUACGGUCUCUUCCAAUGCCGUGGAGACCUCUCCAAUGGUGAUUGCGCUCGCUGUGUUGCUAGCGCAGUGAGUCAACUCGGCACACUCUGCCUUGACUCGUGCGGUGGCGGUCUGCAGCUCGAUGGGUGUUUCGUCAAGUUUGAUAACAUCAGUUAUUUUGGAAUGGAGGAUAAGACCGUUGUGUUAAAGAAAUGUGGGCCGCCAAUAGGGUUUGAGUCUGACUCGUUUACCAGGCGCGAUGCGGUGUUGGGCUACUUGGGAGGCAGUGAUGGAUCCUACAAGCCUUACAGGGUUGGUGGGUCCGGCGACGUUUACGGUGUGGCUCAGUGUGUACAGGAUUUAAGUGCGACCGAGUGUCGGGAUUGCGUAUCGGACGCCAUCGGACGACUGAAAACAGAUUGUGGACCCGCCGCCUGGGGUGACAUGUACUUGGCCAAGUGCUACGUUCGCUUCUCGGAGCGCGGAGCUCACUCGCACGGUGGAAAUGAUAACAAUAAUGAUGAAGAGAUAGAGAAGACACUUGCAAUAUUAAUUGGACUUAUUGCUGGGGUUACAUUGCUCUUUGUCUUCCUUUCUUGCUUGAGAAAUGCCUGUGAAAGAGGAAAAGGUAAGAGGCCAUUUCUCGAAUAUAUAUCCAAAAAUUGUCAAUACUGAUGUAUUUUAUGCUUUUUCAAUAUGCAGAUGGUAAAUAACAGAAGACUUGUGGGCAUGUAAGGAAUUUCUCCUCUCUCUGAUAUUUUUUUUUUUUGGGUUCACUUUUGUAUAUUUUUUUUUUCAUAUCUCCCUAUGAAAAAGAGCUUGAAAAGGUAGAUAGAAAGAUGUUCAUCUUGAAACAAGAGAAAAGGAAGUAGCAAUUAAGGCGCUUUUGCUCGGAAAAAUUAUUUUACAUAACUAUGUUAUGUAUAACAGUGUCGUUUUGCUGGAUUUUUUAGAAUACUAAAUUCAGCUAAAAUUUAAUGUUAUUUUUCUAGUUCUCCACACCAUUACUUUAAUCUCUUUUACAAGCAUGGUUAUUAAUUUUAUUUUUCUUUUAUCUCCAAAUAUACGUAGAAAUAAUAUCAUUAACAAAAUAACAAAAUAAAGUAUGUAUUAUUAAUAUAAUAAAUUGAAUCUAAAUAAAAUUUUCUUUUAUAAAAUUUAUUAGAAACUUUUUCUAAUUGACCCUUUUGAGAAAAUAAACCCAAAUCAGGCCUUAUUGAAGGCCACAAAGCUAGAACACACGGGCCUGCAUUGUGGAUCAAAGCUUUCAACAAUC